rnacentral:rRNA from 1 species
GACGAACGCUGGCGGCGUGCUUAACACAUGCAAGUCGAACGGAAAGGCCCUGCUUUUGUGGGGUGCUCGAGUGGCGAACGGGUGAGUAACACGUGAGUAACCUGCCCUUGACUUUGGGAUAACUUCAGGAAACUGGGGCUAAUACCGGAUAGGAGCUCCUGCUGCAUGGUGGGGGUUGGAAAGUUUCGGCGGUUGGGGAUGGACUCGCGGCUUAUCAGCUUGUUGGUGGGGUAGUGGCUUACCAAGGCUUUGACGGGUAGCCGGCCUGAGAGGGUGACCGGCCACAUGGGGAGUGAGAUACGGCCCAGACUCCUACGGGAGGCAGCAGUGGGGAAUAUUGCACAAUGGGCGGAAGCCUGAUGCAGCAACGCCGCGUGCGGGAUGACGGCCUUCGGGUUGUAAACCGCUUUCGCCUGUGACGAAGCGUGAGUGACGGUAAUGGGGAAAGAAGCACCGGCGAACUACGG